rnacentral:lncRNA from 1 species
GAGGAAGCGACCUGGGCCAGGGCACCCAAACUGUGAGUGGCAGAUCUGAGAUUUACUCCGGGCAGACUCGGAGGCUCACAGCCCCGCUCUAGCAACGUUUCCGUGUGUCCCUCAGGCCCCAGGGCCUUUCAGUGGCCGUGGGUCACACGGUCACUCAUGGGGUGGCCGACACUACCGCCACCUGCCUCCCACCGGCUGGGCAGACAGGGGGAGACACGGCCUCUGUUUCCCGCCUCCCCAGCCCUGCCGCCGAGGCUGGUGCCUGAGCCCCGUGUCCCAACCUGCAGCCUGCAGAGCCCACCCCCGUGGCCGACAGGCUCGUACAUUUCCCCAUUCAGCUGAUGGUGAGUGCUGUGCUAUUUUAAGCCCACAUGGAAGUAUUUUUUUUUCCUAAGGACCAUCUGCUACCGGCCCCAGCCCAGAUGAUACAGUUAGAACUUACCCACAGCAUCCUCUCCCGCCUUCAGACAGUUCCAGGAACAAGGGUGAGUCAGUCGCCCAGCUGAACUCCCGUCCUGCUAAGAGAUGGCCCCGGUUUGGUGCCAGCGGAGGGGGCUGCUCACCCCGGGGGGCAGGGGCGCUGCUUCUCAGGGGCAGGAAAGGGACCCCUGCCCCUCACAGUGGUGCUGCCUGCAGAGAGAGCCUGGAGAAGGCCUGAGAAGGCCUGGGAAGGCCGAGUCCACCCUCCCAGCUGAGCCUCUUUUGGCUCAGAAGCUGAGACCUGGUUCAGGAGUUCAAGUGCGGACGAUGAAGCGUGUCAUGAAGGUGUCACGGAGAAGCGGGUGGCCAGCAGGGCACCUGCUCUGGCUGCUUCUGGGAGAACCCCGGGUGUGCUUUGGGGUGCCAAGAGGUUGGGUCCCCUCUCGCUGGAUGCAUGGGCCAGCAUCCCCCCGAGGCCAGGGGGGAUAUUCCGAAACACUGACCACAGGCCCUCAGGGGUGGGCUCUGCUCACCUCCCCUCUCUCCCUCCCUCCCCGCCCCCAGGGGCUCCCCAUGAAGAGAGGCUGUGUAACUCUGUGUAUAGCACAGAGAUUGGAGUCAGACCUUCUAAGCACUACUCCCCUGAGUCUCCGUUUGCUCAUCUGUAAGAUGGGAGCCAUCGAACCUACGUUCCCGGAUGGAAGUGCUGGGACACAGGUUGGAUCCCCGGCCCAGCACAGUGGGUUAAGGAUCCAGCAUUGCUGCAGCUGCAGCGUAGGUUGCAACUACAUCUGGGAUCUGAUCCCUGGCCCAGAAAUGCCAUAUGCCGUGGGGCAGCCAAAAAGAAAGACCAAAACCAAAAACUGGGGCGAUGUGUGCGAGGGGUCUGGUACUCUGCCCAGCUACUGUCGUCUGUGUCAUUAUGACCUUCAGAGGGCCUGUCCUUUGAGCUGGCUGAGAUAUCAGGUCUGCGCCCUGUCAAGCAGGGCUGCUGUGCCGCACAUGCUCUGUUGGCCUGGGCCCCCUCUCCUCCUGGGCACUGGUCAUUUGGCUGCAGGGACUCUGGUUACUAGGCAUGGGCAGCAGCUGACUUGAGCCUGGCAGGGUAGCCCUGGGCGGCUGUUAUUUCAUCACAGGCCCUCUGGCUAGACCGUUGCCUCUCUUGCUGUCCGUGGCAGAAGCCGGGACGCUCAGCCAGGGGGCUUCUCUGUGCUUCCUCCUGCCUCCUGGCUGCUCACUUCCCUCUCGGGCUGUGGGCUGUGCCCGUCUGGCGGCACCUCCCUCGGUUCUGACCCCACAGCUGUGUCCCCGAGCGCUAUCGGGUGCAUGCAGCCCUCCGAGGCCCCGGGAGUGGCCCUGUGAGCAGGCGAGGGGCUGAGGCCUGACAGCUCGGCUUCCUGUCUCAGAGUCUAUCUGCUGCCGCUCUGCAGAGGCCUACAGUUUAUCUGUGGCCAGUGUUCGCACCCAUUUCCUGCCAGCUGCUACUGGUUUUUCACUCUGCUCCGAUAGCACCGGUAACUGGGAAAGGACCCGGGCUGCGUGAUUCACCCGCGCCGGCGGGCAGGGAUGCCACGCUGGGGCACAGGGCCCUUCCCCACCGCACACGGAGGGACAGCACCGUCUCUGUCCCCUGGGCCUUCCCCGCAGGCCCUGGCGGGGAGACACAAAAAACACCCGCACAUUCAUCGCGCCCUGAAAGUUGCUUGUGUGUGUGUUCCUGCGCCCGUGUGGGGUCUAAGGGAUUUUUUUUUUUUGAAUGCACCCGGGCCGAAGCAAACGGUGUCUUGUUUGGAGAAGUCAGAAUGUAACUCGGGGCUGAGCGUCGCCCCUCUGGCGGGGAGCCCCAGUUCUCGCUGAGGGACGGUGGUGGUGAGCUGGCGGUGGCCCAGUUGAGGAUUGGGUAGUCACACCUAAAAUUUUAUUUCCUGGCAUUUCACACAAUGCGGAGGAAAAUCCCCCACCACAGCAAGGGACUCCUUCAAAUAGAAAACGAGAACGCGUCCAUUCAUUUUUAUUUUUUAUGUUUUGCUUUUUUAUGGCUGCACCUGCGGCAUAUGGAAGUUCCCAGGCUCGGGGUCUAAUCAGAGCUGUAGCUGCCGGCCUACACCACAGCCACAGAAACCCAGGGUCCGAGCUGCGUCUGCGACCUACACCCCAGCUCACGGCAAUGCCGGAUCCUUAACCCCAUGAGCAAGACCAGGGAUCGAACCUUCAUCCUCAUGGAUGCUAGUCAGGUUCUUAAUCCAUUGCGCCCCAAUAGGAACCCCCCAUUUUUUUUUUUUUUAAAUGUGGUGGAUCAGAGUUUUGAAGCGUCCUGAAUGUAGAUAAGCCUCUGGCUAAGUGUCAUGAAUUGGCUAGAGUGUGGCUUCCCAAGCCUGGGUUCAAGUGCAGGGAGCAGAGGUCUCUGCAGGGUGAGGCCAGGGCAGGCAGUGGCAGCACUCCAGAGCCGGAGGGGAAUGCAGAACCCGUGGUCCAGACCCGCUGGCACCCAGGCUGGGUUUUACCCGGCUCUGCAGGUGGCCCUGCCGUGCCAUCAAGCAUGAGAAGAUGCAGACCUCAUUGGGAGGCUUUUAAAUUUUUCUUGGGUGGCAAAGAAUCAAAGUGGUACUCCAGUAUGAAAUGAUUCACGCCACACGUAGUUACUGCCCUCCCUGGUGGGUACUAGACUGUGCGCUGGGUGCAGCAAGGGUCCACCUGGCAUCCAGAGCCCACAUCCCUGUCCCUGGUCUUGAGAAGGUGAAGUCCACGACAAGAAUGCCGCCUGAUCUGGGGACGUCCCCUAGUCAGGUGGGGGAGGGGUGCCGGGGGAGGGGCCUGGGCUAUUUCACGGGGAUGGGAAUUACAGGAAGGGGAGGGGGAAAGCUGGAUGGUGGCCUUGGUAGGUGUGGGGUUUAUCCCAGCUCCGACACUGUGUAGUGCAGCUCACAGAAGCCCCUAAACGUCUCAGCCUCAGCUUUCUCAUCUGUACAAUGGGCUGAAUGAUUUUGAGGCUUAAAUGAGGUAAUACCUGCCACAUGCCUCGCACAGCCCUCGCUAAUAUCUAUAAGAGAUGUUAGCAAGUAUUGCAUCUGAGGGCAGUGGGGAGCCACGGAGGGUUUCUAGCCAGUCAGUGACACGAGCAGGAUACUCUCUUUGCUCCUGGAAAUGCCUCGGACCUUUAGGCCAGGAGAAGCUCUUUGUCGAGCCUGAGACGCCCGUACCAUUAAUAUUUCCAGCUAUAAUCAAAUUUAAAACAUGUCUGAGAAAAAUGUUAGGCGUUUCCUUUGUGGCUCCGUGGGUUAUGAACCUAACUAGUAUCCAUAAGGAUGUGGGUUCGAUUCCUGGCCUCGCUUAGCGGGUUAAGGAUCCGGCGUUGCUGUGAGCUGCGGUGUAGGUCACAGACACAGCUCAGAUCUGGUGUGGCUGUGGCUGUGGCUGGCAGAUGCAGCUCCAAUUCCACCCCUAUUCUGGGAACUUCUAUAUGCCACAGGUGUGGUCCUAAAAGGGGGG